rnacentral:lncRNA from 1 species
AUGGGCUCAUGGCGGUUUGUUGUCAAAAGAUAAGCUAUUUUUUCUUCGAAAAUUACCAAUGUAUUUACUGGUAAAUUCGAGUGAUUUCGUCUGUACAUUGAGAAAACGUGUUGAAAGGGUCGUGCAGCUUGCUGCUGUCAACCAUUUGGUUCAAAAUCAUUGUAUUCUACUGAAUGUGCGACAAUUCUUCAAUUCCAUCAAAAUGAAACAGGAUUCAUCAUAAUUAUCUGCUAUUUGUAUUGGACUUGCUAGACCACCAAUCCCAGCCAUGCCCCAAUUUUGAGUGUUCUUCAUUACAGGUUUCUAACACAUUUGCAUGAUCGAUUUGAUGAGAAGGAGGCAUUCACAUUGUACAUCUUUCUAAAUUGGCAUGACAGACUUGAUGAGAAGGAUGUUUGAAGAAAAAGGACUAUACAGUCAACAAGGUUCCUUGUUUGCUAACCCGUUGGCUGCUACCCUUGAAUCUCCCUGUUAAACAGGGUCAGGGCCUGUUUACUUCCUUACACGGUUCCUCUUGAUUUGAGGGUAACUCUUUCGCUACUGAUCACAUCCACUGUUGUAAACUGACGAGAUAAUGCUGCAAUUCAAGACUGAUACAUAGUGUAGUUGUUAGAUCAAUGACAAGUGCAUAUCUGGGCUCCCUUCUUUUCUGUGGCCCCGUUUCCCUAACUAACCACUAACCAACGCCCGCCGGUGGUCAC